CGUAUUCACUGCGCGCCUUGAU
rnacentral:miRNA from 1 species